UCUGCUGCUCAUGGAUGGGUAGAGCACAUUGAAGACUGGCGUAAACUGACCAGUGCCAUCAACAAGUCUGAGGAGCGUAGGGAACUUCCCACCAUACCACAACCUACGCACCAGAUGGAAUGGUUGGCUAGUCAACUUUAAGCACAGAGCAAUGCGCCGUGACGUACCAAAACAGAGACAACCCAAAGUCUCCAAGAGUCACGACUUAAACUCCUCCUUUUACGUCUUCUAAAGAGUAGAAUGUUCUUGGUAUAAAAGAUGGAAAGAUACUUUGUCGGCAGUGAACAUGAAAUGGUUACUAGUAUGAGUUGUACAAAGACAGUGUGGGAUACUUUACACAGACAUUGCUUGAGUUUGCCUGUUCAACUUGAUUGUGCUGGCAGAUUGAGACAGAGUGACUUCCCUUUGUCCAUGAACAGAGAAUGCAUGAUCCAAUACAUGCAAGGCAAACUAAGCAGGGACAGUCCUAGUAUUCAUGGCAAAUUCCAUAUGCCAUUACACGAGACAGCCAUACAAUUAAUACUUUUCUGGCAAUUUGCAUUUCUACUCUUUUUGGCAAAGGAGUUGGGAGUUUGACUCAGUACUACACCACUGUACUGACUACUACAGUAUAUUUUGGCAUUCUUUUUUGAGGCACACUGUAUUGACUACUAUAGUAUAUUUUUGC